AUUGAACGCUGGCUGCAGGCCUAACACAUGCAAGUCGAGCGGAUGAAGGGAGCUUGCUCCUGGAUUCAGCGGCGGACUGGUGAGUAAUGCCUAGUAAUCUCCCUGGUAGUGGGGGAUAACGUCUUUAUACAGGCGCUAAUACCGCCUCCUUCCAGAGCGAGAAAGUUGGUAUUUUCUGACCCACCCCUACCCAGUGAGCCUAGGUGGGAUUAGCUAGUUGGUGGGGUAAAGGCCUAUCAAGGCGGGGAGUCGUAGCUGGGCCGAGAGGAUGAUCAGUCACACUGGAACUGAGACACGGUCCAGACGCCUACGGGAGGCAGCAGUGGGGAAUAUUGGACAAUGGGCGAAAGCCUGAUCCAGCGAUGCCGAGUGUGUGAAGAAGGUCUUCGGAGUGUAAAGCACUUUGUGUUGGGAGGAAGGGCAGUAAGUUGAUACCAUGCUGUUUUGACGGUACCAACAGAAUAAGCACCGGCUAACUUCGUG
rnacentral:rRNA from 1 species